AAGUCGUAACAAGGUUUCCGUAGGUGAACCUGCGGAAGGAUCAUUAAUGAAAAUGUGUUGCCGGGGCCCAUAGUCCCGGCAGCUAACCUUACUUAUUCCAUAACAACCUCGUGCACUGUUGGAUUGCUUGCAUCCACUUUUAUACUAAACAAUUUGUAACAAAUGUAGUCUUAUUAUAAUUAAUAAAA
rnacentral:misc_RNA from 1 species